rnacentral:RNase_P_RNA from 14 species
AAGAAAGGGAAGUAAGGUAAAAAAAUAUAGCAGAAAAAAAAGGAAUAAAAGUUUAUUAGGAAAUUCUUUGGCGCUUAUUCUGUGUUGUCUGUUCUUCUUUUCUCUUUUCCUUUUUUUCUUUUUCUUUUUCUUUUUCUUCUUCUUCUUCUUUUUUGACACGCAAUACCCCAGCAUUAAAUCCUAGACUUUGCAAGUAGUUAAGCCAAAGCGUUUGAUUGUAUUUCAAUUUAUCAGUUGUCUUCACCUCAACAAAGCGAAUACGAAAUUCAGUUCCUUCUGGAAUUCUGAGUUUUUCUGUCAAGAUCCAUUCAUUU